rnacentral:misc_RNA from 1 species
GCACCAAUGUUGAAGAGGAAGUUCAAAGAAUAAGAUCUGAGCAUCCUGAUGAUGCUUGUGCCGUGGUGAAUGAGCGUGUGAAAGGUUCAUUGAAGGUCACUAGGGCUUUUGGUGCAGGUUUUCUCAAGCAGCCUAAAUGGAACGAUGCACUUCUAGAGAUGUUCAGAAUAGACUAUAUUGGCAAUUCUCCGUACAUAAAUUGUUUACCAUAUCUCUGCCACCAUAGACUAGGCCCAAAAGAUAGGUUUCUGAUUCUUUCAUCCGAUGGGCUUUAUCAAUACUUUACAAAUGAAGAAGCGAUCAACGAAGUUGAACUUUUCAUAGCAUUGCAACCUGAAGGGGAUCCAGCACAGCAUCUGGUUGAGGAGGUGCUGUUCCGUGCAGCUAAGAAAGCUGGUAUGGAUUUUCAUGAGUUGCUCGAAAUACCACAGGGUGAUCGACGGCGAUACCAUGAUGAUAUUUCUAUCAUUGUUAUUUCUUUAGAGGGGAGGAUAUGGAGAUCAUGUGUAUAAGUUUUAUAAACCACAGAUAGAAGAUAUAGAGGUAUCUGCAACCAUAAAAAAAAUGUCAGGCAUUUCCUUUUUGCCAUUUCUUUCUUUUUUCCUGUUCAUCUCUGUAGCAACAAUUAAGCUCCAGGAAAUGAGCUUCUUAGGAACUUACUUGUGCAUUGUAGUGGGUGGUGAGGAGUGUAAAGUUGUAAAAGCAGCUUUUUGUUG